AUCAAAUGGGGCAAAAUGGAUCUGCCAUUGAAGCUUUAUGCUUCAGCCUUAAAACAUAAUGAAGCACCAUGAUCGGCUACCGAAGUAUGAUAAGUGUAGGGGGCAUGUGGAAUUAAGGAGGAUUAGAAGAGGUGUAGAUGUUGGGGGCGUCUGGCAACUCUUUCCAAAUGGUCUUUCAAGCUUUUAAAAGCUUAGAAGACUUGAUUUUGGGGUUUUUAGUUUGUUAACCAUAAGACAGAAGCCGAAAAAACAGCUCCCUCCCCAGAAAGCUCAGAUUUGUCUUCAAUCCGAAAGCUUCAUUUCAAGCUUCAGGUUUUUUUGAGCAUAUGAAUCUUUCCGUUUUAGAAAGGGCAUUCGAAAAACCCUCGUUUCCUGUGUUUAGGCUAAACGGAUCUGCACCAGAUCUUAUCUCUCCCCUCUCUCACUUGCUCUGUCCGAAGCUAGGAAAUCUGAUUCAAAACCAGUCGAAUUUCGUCAAAAUGAAUGUUUACAGAACGCAGAAGAGGGCAAUUUGUAGAAAAAUUUCAUCAAAAUGAUCUCCCGAUUAACAGGUUAGUUAAUAACUAUUGUUAG